rnacentral:rRNA from 1 species
CCUACGGGAGGCAGCAGUGAGGAAUAUUGGUCAAUGGCCGGAAGGCUGAACCAGCCAAGCCGCGUGAAGGACGAAGGUGCCAAGCAUUGUAAACUUCUUUUGUCAAGGGACAAAAUCAGGCUCGAGAGCCUGACCGAGGGUACUUGAAAAAAAAGAAUCGGCUAACUCCGUGCAAGAAGCCGCGGUAAUACGGGGGAGGCGGCCGUUCGCCGGAUUUAUUGGGUUUAAGGGGUGCGUAGGCGGACUUUUAAGUCAGCGGUAAAAGCCCGGGGCUCAACCCCGGCGAGCCGUUGAAACUGGCUGUCUUGAGAUGUCGAGAGGUAUGCGGAAUGCGCAGUGUAGCGGUGAAAUGCUUAGAUAUUGCGCAGAACUCCGAUUGCGAAGGCAGCAUACCGGCGGCGAUCUGACGCUGAGGCACGAAAGCGUGGGUAUCGAACAGGAUUAGAUACCCUUGUAGUC